rnacentral:rRNA from 1 species
CAGUAAGCGGAGGAAAAGAAACUAACGAGGAUUCCCCGAGUAGCGGCGAGCGAAACGGGAAGAGCCCAGCGCUGAAUCCUGCGGCCCCGGCGGGCCGCCGGGAAAUGUAGCGUUAGGGAGGAGAGUAAUAUAUACACGCGCGGUCAUUAGUCACGGCUGCCUGUCCAAGUUCAUCUUGAACGGGGCCCGCUUACCCGCAGAGGGUGCCAGGCCCGUGGUGACGGUAGCCGGCCGCGACGGUCUCUCUCCCCAGAGUCGGGUUGCUUGAGAGUGCAGCCCUAAGUGGGUGGUAAACUCCAUCUAAGGCUAAAUACUACCACGAGACCGAUAGCGAACAAGUACCGUGAGGGAAAGUUGAAAAGAACUUUGAAGAGAGAGUUAAAGAGUACGUGAAACCGUUCAGGGGUAAACCUGUGGAACUCAAACGAGCGAACGGGGAGAUUCAUCGUGUCUUCCGUCGGGGCCCGCGUCUCGGUGCACACCUUCGCCCUCGGCACUUGUGUCGGGGCGGGGGGUGUCCGGGUGCGCAGCCGGGCCCCCGGAGCGCGUGCACUUCUCCCUUAGUAUAACACCGCGACCCGUCGCGCCCCGGUCGAAUGCGCCGUGCGGUUGACCCGUCUCGCUCUGCGGGGCGGAGCCGCGGCGUCCACGGCCGAGGCUAUAUAUAAAAGUGACGGUAGAGAACGAGGAUCGCGUCCGCCCCAUCUGAGGGCGUCCGUCGCGUCACAGCGGCUUCCUUCAUGUGGCCCCCGGCGUCUAGUGCGUCGCGGGUGUCGCUUGUCCGGUUGUCCGUGGUUAGUGGCGCGCUCUCGGACGGGACGCGUCCCGGUCGGCGGUGGUUUUGUUUUGGGCACUCACAGGACCCGUCUUGAAACACGGACCAAGGAGUCUAGCAUGUGCGCGAGUCAUUGGGAACACUUAUAAACCCAGAGGCGAAAUGAAAGUGAAAGGUCGGCCUCGAGCCGGCCGCAGGGAAGAUGCGCGGGCGUCGUCAGACGCCCCGCCGCAUUCCCGAGGCGUUUCGAGAAAGCCCCCGUGUGAUUAUCGAGACGCACUGAGAGCGUACACGCUGGGACCCGAAAGAUGGUGAACUAUGCCUGGUCAGGUCGAAGUCAGGGGAAACCCUGAUGGAGGACCGAAGCGAUUCUGACGUGCAAAUCGAUCGUCCGAACUGGGUAUAGGGGCGAAAGACUAAUCGAACUAUCUAAUAGCUGGUUCCAUCCGAAGUUUCCCUCAGGAUAGCUGGCGCUCGAGAAACAUGACGGCGUCGUUCGCGGCGUGCGGUCAUUCUGACAGUCUCAUCCGGUAAAGCGAAUGAUUAGAGGCAUUGGGGCCGAAAUGGCCUCAACCUAUUCUCAAACUUUAAAUGGGUGAGAUCUCCUUCUUGCUCGAAUAUGAAGUAGGAGCUCGGAUGGGAGUGCCAAGUGGGCCAAUUUUGGUAAGCAGAACUGGCGCUGUGGGAUGAACCAAACGUCGAGUUAAGGCGCCCAAUGAACGCUCAUCGGAGACCAUAAAAGGCGUUGGUCGCUCAGGACAUCAGGACGGUGGCCAUGGAAGUCGGAAUCCGCUAAGGAGUGUGUAACAACUCACCUGCCGAAGCAACCAGCCCUGAAAAUGGAUGGCGCUGUAGCGUUCAGCCUAUACUCGACCGUCGCAGGCAAGCGGGACGUUCGUGCGGCGCUCGCGUCGUGCGAUCGUUUUGAAGCCGCGACGAGUAGGAUGGCCGCGGCGGUGUGCGCAGAAGGGUCUGGGCGUGAGCCCGCCUGGAGCCUCCGUCGGCGCAGAUCUUGGUGGUAGUAGCAAAUACUCAAGCGAGGUCCUUGAGGGCUGAUGUGGAGAAGGGUUUCGCGUUAACAGCCGUUGCACGCGAGUUAGUCGAUCCUAAGCCCUAGGAGAAAUCCGAUGUUGAUGAUGGUGUAAAGUUAUUUAAUUUAAAAUAUCACACCCGUCGGGCGAAAGGGAAUCCGGUUGCAGUUCCGGAACCCGGCUGCGGAACCGUCUUAAAAAUCGUUCCCUCGCAAGAGAGUUCGUCGGGGUAACCCAAAGUGGCCUGAAGACGCCGACGGGAGAUCCGGAGAGAGUUAUCUUUUCUGCCUGAGCGUUCGAGCGCCCUGGAAUCCCAUAGCGGGGAGAUAGGGCUCGGGACGCGAAGAGCAUCGCCGAUGCGGCGGUGUCCGGAUCGGCCCCUCGGACCUUGAAAAUUCAGGUGAGGGAUACGCGGAGAUGUCGCGCCGGCUCGUACCCAUAUCCGCAGCAGGUCUCCAAGGUGAAGAGCUCUACGU